AAACUGAUCUCCCCGUGAAGAAGCGGGGAUAAGUAUAUUAGACGAGAAGACCCCAUGGAGCUUUAAACCCGACAGCACCCACUUAUUUAACACCUUCUUAUCCGCCUGGCCCCUGUCUGCUCGGUUUUGGGUUGGGGUGACCGCGGAGCAUAAAAUAGCCUCCACGAAAGAAGGGAUGAUUCCCUCAUUUUANAACUACNCUUCCAAAGACUAACAAAUUAAUUUUAAGUGAUCCGAUACCCGUAUUCGAUCAACGAACCAAGUUACCCUGGGGAUAACAGCGCAAUCUACCUCAAGAGCCCCUAUCGACAGGUGGGUUUACNACCUCGAUGUUGGAUCAGGGUAUCCCAGUGGNGCAGCAGCUACCAAAGGUUCGUUUGUUCAACGAUU
rnacentral:rRNA from 1 species